CCUGAAACCGUGUACGUACAAGCAGUGGGAGCACGCUUAGGCGUGUGACUGCGUACCUUUUGUAUAAUGGGUCAGCGACUUAUAUUCUGUAGCAAGGUUAACCGAAUAGGGGAGCCGAAGGGAAACCGAGUCUUAACUGGGCGUUAAGUUGCAGGGUAUAGACCCGAAACCCGGUGAUCUAGCCAUGGGCAGGUUGAAGGUUGGGUAACACUAACUGGAGGACCGAACCGACUAAUGUUGAAAAAUUAGCGGAUGACUUGUGGCUGGGGGUGAAAGGCCAAUCAAACCGGGAGAUAGCUGGUUCUCCCCGAAAGCUAUUUAGGUAGCGCCUCGUGAAUUCAUCUCCGGGGGUAGAGCACUGUUUCGGCAAGGGGGUCAUCCCGACUUACCAACCCGAUGCAAACUGCGAAUACCGGAGAAUGUUAUCACGGGAGACACACGGCGGGUGCUAACGUCCGUCGUGAAGAGGGAAACAACCCAGACCGCCAGCUAAGGUCCCAAAGUCAUGGUUAAGUGGGAAACGAUGUGGGAAGGCCCAGACAGCCAGGAUGUUGGCUUAGAAGCAGCCAUCAUUUAAAGAAAGCGUAAUAGCUCACUGGUCGAGUCGGCCUGCGCGGAAGAUGUAACGGGGCUAAACCAUGCACCGAAGCUGCGGCAGCGACGCUGAUGCGUUGUUGGGUAGGGGAGCGUUCUGUAAGCCUGUGAAGGUGUGCUGUGAGGCAUGCUGGAGGUAUCAGAAGUGCGAAUGCUGACAUAAGUAACGAUAAAGCGGGUGAAAAGCCCGCUCGCCGGAAGACCAAGGGUUCCUGUCCAACGUUAAUCGGGGCAGGGUGAGUCGACCCCUAAGGCGAGGCCGAAAGGCGUAGUCGAUGGGAAACAGGUUAAUAUUCCUGUACUUGGUGUUACUGCGAAGGGGGGACGGAGAAGGCUAUGUUGGCCGGGCGACGGUUGUCCCGGUUUAAGCGUGUAGGCUGGUUUUCCAGGCAAAUCCGGAAAACUAAGGCUGAGGCGUGAUGACGAGGCACUACGGUGCUGAAGCAACAAAUGCCCUGCUUCCAGGAAAAGCCUCUAAGCAUCAGGUAACAUCAAAUCGUACCCCAAACCGACACAGGUGGUCAGGUAGAGAAUACCAAGGCGCUUGAGAGAACUCGGGUGAAGGAACUAGGCAAAAUGGUGCCGUAACUUCGGGAGAAGGCACGCUGAUAUGUAGGUGAAGUCCCUCGCGGAUGGAGCUGAAAUCAGUCGAAGAUACCAGCUGGCUGCAACUGUUUAUUAAAAACACAGCACUGUGCAAACACGAAAGUGGACGUAUACGGUGUGACGCCUGCCCGGUGCCGGAAGGUUAAUUGAUGGGGUCAGCGCAAGCGAAGCUCUUGAUCGAAGCCCCGGUAAACGGCGGCCGUAACUAUAACGGUCCUAAGGUAGCGAAAUUCCUUGUCGGGUAAGUUCCGACCUGCACGAAUGGCGUAAUGAUGGCCAGGCUGUCUCCACCCGAGACUCAGUGAAAUUGAACUCGCUGUGAAGAUGCAGUGUACCCGCGGCAAGACGGAAAGACCCCGUGAACCUUUACUAUAGCUUGACACUGAACAUUGAGCCUUGAUGUGUAGGAUAGGUGGGAGGCUUUGAAGUGUGGACGCCAGUCUGCAUGGAGCCGACCUUGAAAUACCACCCUUUAAUGUUUGAUGUUCUAACGUUGACCCGUAAUCCGGGUUGCGGACAGUGUCUGGUGGGUAGUUUGACUGGGGCGGUCUCCUCCUAAAGAGUAACGGAGGAGCACGAAGGUUGGCUAAUCCUGGUCGGACAUCAGGAGGUUAGUGCAAUGGCAUAAGCCAGCUUGACUGCGAGCGUGACGGCGCGAGCAGGUGCGAAAGCAGGUCAUAGUGAUCCGGUGGUUCUGAAUGGAAGGGCCAUCGCUCAACGGAUAAAAGGUACUCCGGGGAUAACAGGCUGAUACCGCCCAAGAGUUCAUAUCGACGGCGGUGUUUGGCACCUCGAUGUCGGCUCAUCACAUCCUGGGGCUGAAGUAGGUCCCAAGGGUAUGGCUGUUCGCCAUUUAAAGUGGUACGCGAGCUGGGUUUAGAACGUCGUGAGACAGUUCGGUCCCUAUCUGCCGUGGGCGCUGGAGAACUGAGGGGGGCUGCUCCUAGUACGAGAGGACCGGAGUGGACGCAUCACUGGUGUUCGGGUUGUCAUGCCAAUGGCACUGCCCGGUAGCUAAAUGCGGAAGAGAUAAGUGCUGAAAGCAUCUAAGCACGAAACUUGCCCCGAGAUGAGUUCUCCCUGACUCCUUGAGAGUCCUGAAGGAACGUUGAAG
rnacentral:rRNA from 1 species